UGCUUCCCAAAGGUACUGCGCAUGCGCCGACCUACACAAUUUAAUUCUUUCUCGUGUUUUAUGUAUAAUUAAUCUGGUUUAGGGGGCGUUAUGUGCAUUACACAACCUGGACGCACUAUCAUUGCACAGAAGUGUAAAUGGAAACUACAAAUUACACUUAUUAUCAUAAAUAAAUACAAAAGCAGUUUGUAAUGAGCUAUAUUUACUAUAACUUUGCCAUGGUACAAUGAAUUAUGCACUCCAAAUCUACUAACGUACAUCUACUGGAAUAUCACUGGGUACAUGCCCUAAAAUAGUGCUUCUUUUGUAUUUUUACAGUUAAAUAUUCAUUGGGGCAGCACGGUUCGACAAGGUAGCAGAAUUCGACAGAACGCCGGCCCUCUUUCUCCAGUCCAGCUCCGCCCGCCCUCUCAUCAACAGACUUUUGGAAGAAACCAAAGUCACUGGAAAAGAGGGGGAGAUCUGAGAUUUUGAGGCAUGAUAUUUAAUAUAAUUAAAAUAAUAUAUUUCACCGUUCCUAUUAAAUUAUGAUUAUUUACGUUUAUAUCUCACGUUUUAAUACAAUAUAACAUAUAAUGAAUAUAUUAAAACACACAAAUUAAAAACCUUUCGGGCAACAAAAAAACCCCGAACCUAGUUUUGAAUGGUCGUGGCUCCACUCCACUGAAUCAGUAGCCACAACAAAGACGUCCUUUUCUCCGGGAGCUGCAUGGGGACUGCAGGAGUCCAAAGCCUCGCUGUGUUUUAUGGGGAACAGUUAUUAAUAUUGGGUCAAAUAAUCCAGUAUUUCUUCACUCUGGUGCUGAAGGUCCGCUGCGCUGCUCUUUAUUGUGUUUCCCAUUUACUCUGUUUUCAUUUAAAGCCCGUCAGUCUUAAAACAGCGGCACUAGCGGGCCUCCAGCGGGCCUUCAGCACCGAUAGUGAUUAUUACCCUGCCGGAUUAGAUUAGAGCAGCGCGGCGGAGCUCUGUAAGUCCCGGUGAGUAAUUUAGUUAGCUGACUGUUUCAGCUCUCGGUGAAGCGCGGUCUUAUUAUGAUACUUAAACGGCGCUGGGUGUUUGUUUUGUUUCUGAACGAGCAGGUGACGCUGCAACUGGAUUUUAUAAAGAUAUGAGAAAAGAAUGCUUUCGUCGUGGAUUUAACAUGAAAAGGCCCAGUUCCAAAAGACACAACAUCCUCAGUGUCCUGGAGCUCCAGCUGAAGCACUGGCCACUCCACCUUCUCCAUCCCCACCCAAAAGAGCUUAAUGAAUAUAUGUUAAUACAUUAAUAGCUUAAUAUUAUUACUCUAUUUGUUCUUAUUACUGACUUACCAGGGGAACUAAUUAAGGGACGGAAACACACACAGAGAAAUGUGUUGGCAGUGCUGUUGCUAAUUGUACUGAGUGUCUGCAGUGUACUGGGAGGAUUGUGCUGGGUGCUUAUUGUUUCUCAGGUGGUAAAUCAUGUUUGUUGUUGAAUGUACAUUUUUUUCCUUCCCAUCUUGUAAAAUCCUGCCUUUGCAGUCCACUUUAAAAUAUUUCCAAACAGAGAGGUGUAAUACGCUCUUUCGAUCUUACAGCUGCUGCUCACACUGCUAAUAAAUAAAAAACAAACCCAGUUGAUUUUAUCGGAGCGCCAGUACCCAAACCCGACUGACUAAAACUUUCAAUCGUAACCACCUUACACUUAACGAUUGAGAUAACACGACCGCAACUCAACUGCAGCUCGACUCUAGCCAGACUCUCGUGAUUUUAUCCUGACUCUGUGAAAUCAUUGGAAAAUCGUUAGGUACCUGAACACUCUUCUCUCUUCACCCUUAAUGUAGCAGCUACCCACUGAAUAACUGUUAGCCUGUUCUAUAGCGACUGUAAUUUUCUUCUGUCUGUUUCUUACACUCUGUAGGUACUUAUAUAUUUUUUUUUUAUUGAACGUGGCAGCGUGCCGACAAUCACAAGUAUUGCAAAUGUUGGGAUAAAUUUCAGCCAAUUUAACUUUACUAGAAUGUGCUCUGUGUACUCUGCAGGUACUUCUAAGGCAGCUAGUUGAAGGCGUGAUUGAGGUCCAUGCCAGAGGGGUUCUGCACUGUGACCUCAAGCCAUAGAACAUCCUGGUUCAGAUGUACAGUUAGGAACCACGCCUUCAUCUUCUGUUCUUCUGGACCUUCCUCAUGAGUGGUUUACCCAUGAGGCCAAAUCCUCCACAGUGUUGCAGAUAGGAAUCAUCCUGCUGUGUGUGAGAGGUGACCCUUCAACACCAGCACGGAGAUCACCUCAAAGAAGUCUCAGAUCAUCUCUCCACCAUCUGCUCUAUGACCCCUGGCUAAGUAUACACCACGACACAGCCACCACAUCAGGCACACCUCAGUCAGGUACCAUAUAAAACAAUAAUAAUAAUAAUUUUAAAAAAUCUAUAUUUUCAAUCUCUAGUUUAGAGAGUUCUCUAGUAGAGCUGGGCGAUUAAUCGAUUUUAUCGAUAAAUUCGAAUUUAUAGUUAAGGACAAUGUGUUUUUAUGAAAAUCGAUUUUCUCUGAGUUUUCUUUUUCACCACAGACGCUCCUCUGUGGGCACAGAGUGAGCUUAGCUAGCUCCCUCCAUACCUCCCUCCCUCCAGCGCGCGCACCCCCCGCCCCUCCCUCACUCCCUCCCUCCCUCCCUUGCACGCACAAACACACACGUGCGCGCACACACACACAUACACAAAACACAUGACGGCGGAGCUUAAGAGCAACUGGCUCCGUGAUCUGGAGUUGGUUCGGUUUUGCAGCGGCGGACGUAGACCAAACAGGUCCUCGCUGUAAGGUGAACCAAUUUAUCACUAUACCUUAAACAGAAGCAUGUAGCGGAGUGGGAGAAGUGCUACUACCAUAGGAAUGAACGCAGCAGCAGCACCAGUUCACCAUUCAACGUUAAACAAGGAACUGUCCCUGGCACAUCUUCCAACCGUGUACCAGGUUUUGUAUGCACUACAAGUUAAGAUGUUUUGCAUAUUCAUGAGAAAAGAUCUCAUUUUAUAGAACACUGGCACUUAUUUAAAUGCUUUGUUUUGCAAUUCUAGCCCAAUAGGGAAAAGAAUUUACUUAAGAGCAUAUAAAUUGUACUUGUUUUCUAUUGUGUACUUUGUAAGUUUUAUCAAAAAAAAAAAAAAAUGGGCACCAUUUUAUUUAUUUCUAUUUGUUUUUAAGGGUGUGUUUAUUUAUUUAUUUAUUUUUUAAGUUUGAGGGUGCAUUGUGUCAGUACCUAAACUAUGUUGGAGAAAGCUUUCUAAAAGUCACUAGAUGUUCUCACUGUUUACAAUAGUUUUUUUUUUGCUUGUUUCUGGUUGCACUUUAACCACAAAUGGAACAUUUUAAGUGAAAACAAAUUAAAUAAGAACUAGUUUUAACCAUUUCUUUAUCAUCUUUAGUUUGAUUUUUAGUAGGGGGAAGAAAACGAUUUAAAUCGAAAAUUGGAUUUAAAAAAAAAAAAUCUAAGAUUUUUUUUUUUCGGCCAUAUCGCCCAGCUCUAUACUCUAGUUUAGAGGUUUUUUUUAUAAAACACACCUAAGGAAAAUAGCAGGUAUUAAUAAAGCUAUUGAUUCCAUACUUUUAAAAAGGUAAUGAUUUUCUUUAACUAUAUAAAUGUUUUAAUCGUUUUGUGUAUUGUAUGCUUUUAAUUGCUUCCUGUUUUGUAUUUGUGUUCAUGUACUUAAGGCUUUAAUCCUUUUAUCUUGAUAUUGUUUAUCUUUUGAUGUUUAUUAAUUACUUAACUGUAUUUAUCUUUAUGUAGUAUACUGUUAGUGUUUUAAUCCAUACACUUUUUGUAUAUAUUUCUUUUAUUGCUUAGUUACUUGCUUUAUUAAUGGUUAUUGUAUUGGUGUUUUAGUCUUAUUUUGGGCUUAUAUUCAUUAAAAACAUUUUAACGUUUGUCUUUUAGUGCUUUAAUCAAUUAAUAUUGUACUUACCUUUUACUAUUUUACUAUUAAUCUUUCUGUACUUAAUUAUAUAUUAUUUUUUAUUUAUUUUUUUAUAAAAAUUAAAGGCGGGUUUAUUAAUUGUAUGUCUUUAUACGGGAUUUUAUAUUUGCAUUGUAUGUAUUUUUGUUUCAUUUAAUGUUUAUGCUCUUUGUCUUUUUCAGAUUUUUACAUUUUUAAUUUGUGUAUUGACCCAAGGAGUAUGGGUUCCUCUCAAGGUUUCUAUCUCUCUUUCUGAGAGAAUUUUCUUUGCCGCUGUCUCCUUUGUGCUUACUCAAAAGAGGUUUGGACACUUUUUUUUUUUUUAACUGUUCUUAAUUUUGUUUGUUUCUUAACUUUGUCAAUAAAUGUUUUUUUUAUUGCUA